GACAGGCUAAUUAAUGCGUGGUUUUGCAAGGAGAUUGAAGAGAUGCUGGAUGUGACUCUCAAGCCAGUAGGAAGUCUCAGGCUCAGGAGAGAAACGACACCCAGCUACCUGAUAGAAAGAAAGAGAGCUCAGCUGCAGGGACGUGGGACAUGUCAGUACACUCAGGGUUGGAAAACGGUCACUAGCUUAUUUCAUGGAGCCAAACGUCUGUGGCUAUUGGAUGGCUCAGUGUGGAUCCAUAAAUUCUGCACUGUGUAGGCUGCAGAUAUGGGAUGCUUCUAGAGGCUUUCUGUGCCACUGGCAGCCCUUUGGGUUGUGAUAAUCCCCAACAAAUGUUUAGAUGCAGGUUCCCUAAUUUUUAAUAUAUAUAUAUAUUUAAUAUAACCCCUAAAAACUCCUUUUCUAUUGACCUGCCUGACAUUCUAUCUCCAGUUCUGUUUUUUUUCCCCCUCCUUAUCCAUACCACUGUCUUCCAAAUUCAUGACUUACUCUUACUGCUUCCCUAUCUACCAGCCCAGACAGCCAACCUGGGCUGCAUCUAAAGCAGCAUGGCCAGCAGGGCGAGGGAGUUGAUCCUGCCCCUCUGCUCUGUGCUUUGAGAACUCACCUGGAGCACUGCGUCCAGAUGUGGAGUCCUCAGUACAGGAGAGACAUGGAGCUGUUGGAGUGCAUCCAGUGGAGGGCCACAAGAGUGAUCCAAGGGAUGGAACACCUCCGCUACAAAGAUGAGCUGAGAGAGCUGGGGAUGUUCAGCCUGGAGAAGAGACUUGAUAGAUGCCUUUCAGUAUCUAAAGGGGGUCUAUAAGAAAGAAAGGGACUGACUCUUUAGCAGGGUCUGUGGUGACAGGACAAGGGAAAAUGAUUUCAAACUAUAGGAGGGGAGAUUUGGAGUUCUUUAUAAUAAGGGUGGUGAGGCACUGGCACAGAUUGCCCAUAGGGGUGGUGGGUGCCCCAUCGCAAGAGACGUUCAAAGUCAGGCUGGACAGGGCUCUGAGCAUCUGACUGAGUUACAGAUGUCCCUGUUCACUGCAGAGGACUUGGGCUAGGUGAUCUUUAAUGGUCCCUUCCAACUCAAAUGAUUCUAUGGUCUGUUAUCUUCUUCCCCUCCCCACUGAGCAUCACUACCCUCCCAAAUCCCAGCAUUUUCCCUAUGAAGCCUCCCCUCCUCUUCUGAUCUGGAAAUCCAUGCUCCAACACCUUCACAGUUGAAACACAAUUCAUGCAUCAUAUGCUACCACGUGGUGGUGGUUCCAGCAUGGAUAUUUAUGGAUAUUUAUGCAUGCUCAACCACCUUAGUGGCCACUGUCCCUCAUUCUGAAUGCUGGAAGACAACCUGCUUCAUUUCUGAGAAGAAGGCUUUUUCUCUCCCCAGCUUAACAAGUACAUUCCCUUGCAGACAGAGCAAUGUCCUCAGGGACUGUGGUUUUUUAGAAGUGUGUCUAAACUGUCCAAGUGAACAUGUGGGAAAGACCAUAGCCCUCUAGCACUCAUCUGCUUGCCUCUUGCACUCAGUAUAUUUGGUUUGGAUAGGGGCCCUUGCACCAGAAAGCCUGAACCUGUUUCUGAAGAGCUGCUGGAACAUAUGCUGGGUAAUAUACAGCAGGAGGAUGAAUCUCAUAGGACAAGGAAAGCUUUUCCAGACUGGUGCUGAGGUGCUGCUACUGACACUGCUGAUGUCUAAACCUGGACCCUAAUGAUAUGGAUAGGGUAGUUUUAUUUAUUUAUCCAUUUACAUUGAUCUUUCAUAAAGACUGUUAAAAAAGCACAGGAGAUUGAAGAACACAGAAAAAAAAAAAAAAGGCAAUGUCCUGUGUAGGUGUAAAGCAAACCUUCUGCACUCUAUCCAGAUGACUCAGUCUUGCCCCACAAACUCCUUCCUCAGCCUAACCUCUGUGGGACUGUAGGAAUGCAGAACAGCCUACCUGCUUCUAACAAUCUCCUGGGUGCUUACAGUCUAAAAAUACCACACAGAAAUAAUGAUCCUUGGUACGGAGGAGGUAAAUCUGCAUCUCCGUGACUGUCUGGAGAGCACUCGAUGAUGGCUCACGUCACGAUUCCUUGUUACUGCAUCCCUAGCCAUCCCGCCAGCACUGCACGACCUCAGCACGGCGUCUUGGUCCAAGCUUAAAGCUUUGAACUCUUCAGCUCAGCCUUGCAGGCUCGUUGGCAGCCACAUGUUGUGGGAAUGAUGUAUUCUCUUGGCACUGGCCUUCGUGUUCCAUUGCUGGGGCAGCCAAAUAUGAAGACAGAUUUCGCAAGGUAGAAUGGAGGUACCAAGACUUGCUGUGUUGUCCCAACUCUGGUGAAUGAUAACCACAAAUUCUCGCUUAGGUUUUCUUGUGGUGAAGGUGAAAUUCAAAGAAUGGUGACCCGGGAAAUGAGACACACAAAGCUUGUUCUCGGAGAGGUUGUUAGGCACACCAUGAGAAGUAUUUGCUAUUAGUGGGCAUUAUGUACACGUUGAGCCCUCCUCUUUGUCAUACAAAGUAGCCCUGAAGGCACCUCACCCAAAGAUCAUUGUGUCAUUCCCACUCAUAGGUGUUUUGGAAAGGCUCUUAGCUACCAGGAGCUCUUGCAGCUUUCACAUCCCAGAGAUGUGAGCAACCCAGCCACGCAGAUGGCCCCAGGAUCAGUAUUGCUUUCACCCAGUGGGACCCGUGGGCUUCCCAAAAGUGAAAAGAUGGACAGAGCAGCUUGGGAAGUCUCAUGGCAGUUGACUGUCUACAAAAUCGAAGUGCAGAAGCUGCAGUACUUUUAUUUCACUGCAGGAAAUCCAAGACUCUAGGAAGACUUGUGGCAGUGGUGGGUUGAUGGUUGGACUAGAUGACCUUAGUGGUCGUUUCCAACUGUAAUGGUUCCACUGUUCUGUGAUUCUAAGACUGGCCCAAGCCAAGCCCUGGGAACUCCAGAUACACAACAGGGAAUUUUCAACCCUCCUUUUGUGCAUCUGCAAACCUAAGACUCGUGUCAUCAUCCUUCAGUAGACCAUCAGCUCUUCCAGAGUCUCAUUUACUCAGUUUCUGAAGCCUGGAGGAACUAGAAACCUUGACAUGCAGCAGAGAGCUAAAUUUAUCUGUGGCACCCUUGGCCACACAGAAGUCAUGCUGUGAAUCAGCUCUGGAGCUGGAAAUAAAGCUUCUUGUCUUCAGGCAGCCCAUAUGGCCACAUAACCUCAAAGCAAAAUUUCUUCAUUACCCAGACACUGAUAAUGCUGAGCAGCCCAUAUGGCAGGGCUGCCCAGGAGCAGUAGAGCUGGAAACCGUACAUCUCAAGCAAUAUUGGCAAGAAAACAAGAAAACAAAAUCAUCAAAGCAGGGAGAAGUGAACAGAAGAAAGAAACUUGUACAGAAAGAGGCAGACAAAGCACAUGUUGCACUGAGAAGUUGUACCACUGCACACACCAUUCCAGCUGUUCCCUGUGCUGAGGCACAUGGUGCAUAUGAUAAUCAUCACUGCUUCUUUUCUCUCCCUCCCCCAAUUAUAAACUGGGAACACUUGAAAAAAAGAAAUCAGUAUAUUGGAUCAAGCUUAGGGCUUGCCUGAUGCUGCGAGGCUGAAAUGAGGAGGAAUAACUGCUACAAAAGAAGGAGGACAGUCGUGCUGUGCAACUUGUAGAGCAGUGUGUUCUAGUGGCUCUCUGAUCCACGCCAGAAGUCGCAAAGGGAAGAGAUGCUUUUCACCAUUGGGGCAGACAGCUGGUUGAGCUCCAUGGAUGCACCAAAUGACACUUCUCCUCUGGCCAUCCACCCAGCUGGCUGCUCAGACUGUGCUCAUCUGUAGCACGAGUAGAGCCAUGCAUUGGAGGAAUACAUCAUCUGUGAUGUGCAGAUAUGCAAUGUGCAAGUGUUGUAAUUCUCAAAUGAUAUUUAUGCACUUGAAUGGGAUUUCUAAGCAGGAAAAUAUGUUUUGGAGUUAAUUACUAUAAUUUUAAUUUCUGGCUCGCGUUCUGUAUAGGUAUAAAGAGCCUUUUCUCUAAAAUCAAUGGAGUAUCCCCAGUAUUAAUGAAGAAAUUCCCACUCUUUGGUAAAAGUCAGUGUGUUGUGAAAAAUAAUAAUGCUUCAUUGCUAGUGCUCACAGAAACAGGAUGACGAAGAAGAUUAUUGCUAUUGUAGCUCCACAGAUUACAUCACUUUCCUUAGGUAGGGGAUCCCACUCUCACGUGGCACCACACAUUGGCUUUUUUUUGCUGUGAAAUCUGAGAUUUGGGCAACCAGAGACACUUGGCUGGUUGAUUUAUUCUGCUUGUAACUCUAAUAGUUGCUCCAAGCCAUCUACAUUAAAGUUUGCAGUAAAACCAAAGUAUUGCUUCUGAACAGUGUAAAGCUGCUGCAUUUCACACCCUUCAAAAAUGAUUUGUGCUUCCAACAUGUGUGUAGAAGAAAAGACCAAUGAAAAAGGCAUGGACGGAAGUCCUCAAAUGAAGACUGGCAUCAUACCUGCUAGCUAAAGAACCAGUUUUCAGACAGGACUUCUGAGCUCAGUAUAAACCCAGAGUUCUUUGAGAACAUGGUUCUUUACAGUCACAUCAACGUAACGCAGAGCAUAAAAAUAGUCCACGCUGGAAUACUGGGAGAAUGUCACCAUGUUGAAGGCAAAGAUGCACAAAGCCCUGUAAUGGAAGGGCAUAGAAUCAUAGGAUCAUAGAAUCAUGGAAUCAUAGGAUCAUAGGAUCAUAAAAUCAUGGAAUCAUAGGAUCACAGAAUGGCCUGGGUUGAAAAGCACCACAAUGCUCAUCCAGUUUCAACCCCCCUGCUAUGUGCAGGGUUGCCAACCACCAGACCAGGCUGCCCAAUUCCUUCCUGGUGGACCCCACUGUCGGAGAACCAUCUAGGUAAUUUCAGUAAAUUAGUACAGAUGCAGCCUAUGGAUCUGCUUGUUUUCCUCCUCUGAACAAAACAGGCACUUUAGCUGCCUUUCUAGAGAUGCACCUCUUCAACUUUCAGUUAAUCUUUCUUGAAUCUGGGUGACCAGAACUUCAUAGUUACUCAGGUGAUGUCCCAGCUACUCUCUGUGCAAUGGUAUUUAACACUUCCCUGUCUCAACUGGAAACAUCUCACCUGAGAUACAGUACAACUGCAGUUGUUCUUUUCAAGGACACUGUGUUCAAAUAGGCAAGCUGUGGGUCCCCCAUCCCUGGAGGUGCUCAAGGCCAGUUGGAUGGGGCCCUGGGCAGCCUGAUCUGGUGGGUAGCAACCAACCCAUGGCAGGGGGUUGGACCUUGAUGAUCUUUAAGGUCCCCUCCAACCUACGCCAUUCCAUGAUUCUAUCAAAUAGACUAUUUCAGGUCAUUUUUUUCUACCUCAAUCUCUAAGUCUAGUCUCCUACUCUUUGUUACUGUCAAAGCACACCCACUUCUCUCACUCGGCUUUCCUUAAAGGUCAUCCACAGCUCUUCCCAUAUCACAUUUGUAUCCUUCUCCGCAAUAGCAAUGCAGUCACUCAAGUUUGUGUCAUCAGCAGAUCUCAUGACCAGGCGCCUGCCUUUUUUCUGCCAAGUUCAUUAAGGAAAAUAUUUAAUAAGAUUGGUCCCAGAACUGAUUAUUAAGGAACAUGAUGGAGUUUCUCUGGAUUCACUCAGAAGUAACAGACAGCAAAUGUUGGCCCCAGAUGGUAUUUUGUUCAAAACAAAAUAAUGACUUCCAUCUGUCUCAUCACUUUCCAGGCUGAGGUCUGUGGAGCACUUGCUGGUGGUCUGCAGAGUGCUGGCUCUUUGCAAGGUGCUGGCUCCUCCUUGUAAUUUCCAGCUGCUAAAUUCUACUAAAUUAAGCUAAAGCUUACAGUAAAUGUUUUCCUAAUAUUAUUUUCAUGUGUAAGUGACUGCGGGAGUUGCUGGUGGGAACAUAUGUGAUUGGAAAGGGAGCUCACCUGUGGGAUAAUUCCCGAACUGGGAUGCAGUACAAGUGACCUAAGACCUAAGGAGCUUCUUAUCUACUUAUUAAUAAAGAGCUUACUGUGUGUGUCACAGUAGCACAGGAUAGUCCCAAGCAGAGAUGUGCCUAUAAAUAGGCUGAGCUUUGUACAGGCUCCUGCUGAGGGCGGUCUUCAUCUUAAGAUAAUUCCAAGCUGAUGUGCAGAUGGGAGGAAAAGCAGAAGACAGGUGAGCAGAAAUGAAAGGUGCAGUCACCCAGGAACUCACUUGCUUGAGCUGAUUCAGACAUCUGCUGCUAUGAGAACAAUAACUGGCCUGUCUGCCGAGGAUAUAAACUCUGCAUCACGUCUUGCAAUACCAUGUCUGAAAACAUCUGUUGGAUACAAGACAUGGAGAUGAGCCCAGAACAAAGAACCGAGCGGAUGAAGUCUCUACUCACUAUUCCUUUUAUUUCUCUGAUGGUGAGGUUGUGGAUGAGGUACGGAGUUUGUGCGUAGUCAGUGGUUAAAACAAAAAGGGGUCUUAUUGAUAUCUGGGCUCACAGUUGUCUUCAAUGGAUGAGCCAUUCCAACAGAGCAGUGAGAAAGGAUUGCUCGGAAAUCUUCAUGUGCAACAAUUUCUCUUGAGCCAAAUUCUCUGGUGGAUGUUCCAGUGGAGGCCGAGCACUUUCAGCACCAGGACAGCCAGCUCCUUAUUGUAGAACUGAUUUCUUCUGUAGUGUCAAGGAGAGUUCAGCUCUUGAUUCUGGACGUCAGUUCAGCUUGCUGGUGAUAUAACUAGUGUGAAAAUAAAAUCACCAAAUGAAAGAAUCAUUAAGGUUGGAAAAGACCACUGGGAUCGUCCAAUCUAACUGUCAAACCAUCCCCACCAGGCUCGCUAAACCAUGUCCCACGGUGCCACAGUGGCAAGGGAAAUCUACUUUUCUUACUUCUCCUAAGCAAGACUGUGAUUCCAAUGGCAUCUGAAAACCUAGAGGAAAGAAAAUGUAGCUUGUGCUAUAUUUUUAUGAGGCAAUGGUGAAGGAAGGGGUCAAGGCUCUCCCAGCGAGCUUGAUGCAUAAGCCAGAUCAGGUCUUUAGCCACAGAACUGUGCCAACAUCAUUUCAAGAGCCAACAUGAUCACUCUGGAGUUGAAACAAAUCAUUGACUAAACAACAGAAUGAAAUCCUACUGAGGUUCUCCAGAGUUCUGUCUACCACCAGCAAGUAGAGAAAAAGACACCAGGCUUUUAGAAACAGGAUUGAAAAAUUAUUCCUAAAAAGAAUGACUCAGCAAGGUCCGUGUUGCUGUUCCUUCUAACUAGAUAUCCCCAGGCUUGUCUUUCAUUCCUUGACAGACAAAGCUCUAUAUGGAAAGAGCCUUAAGAGAGUUUAAGGGGGGGUGACUAAGACAACAAAGUACAGAUCCACAGAAUCAGCUAAUGGCUGAGGUUGGAGGCACCUGUGCAAUUGUACGGCUACGUUCAACAUCUAGGGCUUUCCUCUUUCUCUUUGCAAAGCAGAAACCUUUUCUGGACUGAGUUUGUGAUAAUUGUAUCAGAGGAGACUUGUGAUCUCUGAUAAGUGGGAAGACCCAGAAGAAUGGCAUGAGAAAAAGGAAGGGCAGGAAGAACGAAUAGUCAAAAGUAAUGGGAAUACAGAAGCAAUUGCCAACAGCACUCUCUACCCAGAAGGGUUGUUAUUUUACCCUCGAGAACCAGAGCAGAUUGACUGAACUGCAGCCAGUAGAUCUGAGCUGAUGAAAUGUCUGUCUCACAGUUUCACUGGCAAAGAAAAAGGGCUUUCUUCUAUUGGAAAGAGAGGUUGUCUGUUAUCUGAGCUUCCAUACAGUGAUUUUGGCAGGAUCACUUGAACGCAAACUGCUUCUGGAUAAUAUCUUUGGCUGAUACUGUCUUCAGUCACCACCCUUCAGACUAUCGUCUGCACAGGAGACUCAGAGUCACUCCAGGAAAGAUUUCGUGGUUAACUUUGGGUGAGCAACACUUGACUGUAGCUAGCGGGUGAAGACACAGUCCUGGAGCACCUAUUUUGCCUCUGUGCAGUGACUGUGUGCAGCAGGUCUGGAUCAGUGUCACAUCUGGAUAGAUGUCAACUCAACUGUGAGCCAGAAAGUAGCCCAGUGAAGAGCCCAACUAAGAUGGAGCCAAACCCUAAAUGAUAAAUCCCACUGGGUAUAUCAGCUUGGAUUUUGCUGUAUGAUCCUCAAGCUUUGGUAGCUAGGAGUUUGUGUUUGACUAUGUCUCCUUGCAAGGGCUCUUGAGUCGGCCUUUAAAGGUCAUCUGGUCCAGCUCCCUGGCAAUGAACAGGGAAGCGCCACUGUCCUCCACAGCUCAUGGGUGACCAUCAGUCCCUCUUUGUCCGAGUAUCAACCAAGUUCAAAAGAGCUGGAUGUCAUCCACAUUCCCGCUCACUCUCUGGCUGUGUUUGAAGCUAGACUUCCUCGCUUAAUUUCUGUGAGCCAAACUGUUUGCACUGAACUGGCAAAAGAUGAAUCCCAGAGCUUGUGCUUUGUUUUGACAUCUGUGUGAGCAGCGUGGUGGUGUUUUGGUUUAGUGCUCUGUGUCUGUGGAUUUCAUGCUGCCUGUGUCUUCUCGUUGUUCUUCCAUUUGGUUUGUGCUGGCCACUGGAGAUAUGUUAAAAGACCCUAAGAUUUGUGGCUCAGGUUGCCAACAUUUGCACCUUGUCAUCGCCAAGCUGAUGAUAGGUCGUGCUCAGCAGAGGACACCAAAUCCCCAACAUAAGCACUUAUGAAGGGAGCGUGCCCAUCUUCUGUGCAUGGCCUGAAUUGCUUGAGUGAUGUGGUAGCAUUCUGCAGGAGUCACCUGAGCAUGACUUGUCCUUGACCCACCAGUACUUCUGCACUUGCCAUGCGUCACCAAAGCAGAAGUCAACAGGGUGUGAUGCAGUCAAAGUUUAUCAAAGCUAUGGAGGGUUGGUUCACCUUUACCAGAGCCCUUCUGUAGUCGAUAAAUGAAACAAACAAACAAACAAACAGAAAAAGCAGUUAAAUCUCC
ensembl:lncRNA